AAUACAUAUACAAUCUUUUUACAAACAGUGAAACAGAGUAGAUGAAAUAGUGUACUGGUUCUUUGUUCGAAUAAAGACCCCCAUAGGUCCAUACUCGCUAGCGGAUUUGGACCGGGGUCCAUUUUGAGGGGGGUGGGGUCCUAAUCUGCUGGGACACUGAGAGCCAGCACACGUUGUUAUUCGGUUACGAGGAGAAACUAUGAAACGAA